GAUGAACGCUGGCGGCGUGCCUAAUACAUGCAAGUCGAGCGAAUGGUUUAAGAGCUUGCUCUUAUGAAGUUAGCGGCGGACGGGUGAGUAACACGUGGGUAACCUGCCCAUAAGACUGGGAUAACUCCGGGAAACCGGGGCUAAUACCGGAUAACAUUUUGAACCGCAUGGUUCGAAAUUGAAAGGCGGCUUCGGCUGUCACUUAUGGAUGGACCCGCGUCGCAUUAGCUAGUUGGUGAGGUAACGGCUCACCAAGGCAACGAUGCGUAGCCGACCUGAGAGGGUGAUCGGCCACAGUGGGACUGAGACACGGCCCAGACUCCUGCGGGAGGCAGCAGUAGGGAAUCUUCCGCAAUGGACGAAAGUCUGACGGAGCAACGCCGCGUGAGUGAUGAAGGCUUUCGGGUCGUAAAACUCUGUUGUUAGGGAAGAACAAGUGCUAGUUGAAUAAGCUGGCACCUUGACGGUACCUAACCAGAAAGCCACGGCUAACUACGUGCCAGCCGCCGCCGUAA
rnacentral:rRNA from 1 species